CUUGCUUUCUUUUGCUGGCGACCGGCGCACGGGUGAGUAACACGUAUCCAACCUGCCCUUUACUCGGGGAUAGCCUUUCGAAAGAAAGAUUAAUACCCGAUAGUAUAAUGAUUCCGCAUGGUUUCAUUAUUAAAGGAUUCCGGUAAAGGAUGGGGAUGCGUUCCAUUAGGUUGUUGGUGAGGUAACGGCUUACCAAGCCUUCGAUGGAUAGGGGUUCUGAGAGGAAGGUCCCCCACAUUGGAACUGAGACACGGUCCAA
rnacentral:rRNA from 1 species